rnacentral:rRNA from 1 species
AGCCCAAACCAGUUUUGUUUCGGCAAGACUGGGGUUGUAGGACCUCUAUAUAGGAAGACAAGAUUAGGAGAACGGUCUGGAAAGGCCGGCCAUAGAACAUGAAAGCUGUGUAUCCGAAAAUCUUCGUUGGACUUAGAGGUAUCCUGAGUAGCGCGGGACACGUGAAAUCCUGUGUGAAUCUGCGGGGCCCAUCCCGUAAGGCUAAAUACUCCCGAGAGACCGAUAGUGAACCAGUACCGUGAGGGAAAGGUGAAAAGAACCUCGAACAGAGGAGUGCAAUAGAUCCUGAACCCGUCUGCCUACAAGCGGUAGGAGCAGCCCUGUGCUGUGACUGCGUGCCUUUUGCAUAAUGAACCUACGAGUUACUUUCUCUGGCAAGGUUAAGUGAUGAAGAGUCACGUGAGCCGAAGCGAAAGCGAGUCUGAAUAGGGCGAAUUAGUCAGAGGGAGUAGACGCGAAACCAAGUGAUCUACCCUUGGUCAGGUUGAAGGUUGGGUAAAACCAACUGGAGGACCGCACCGGUAAGCGUUGAAAAGCUUUCGGAUGAACUGAGGGUAGGGGUGAAAGGCUAAUCAAACUUGGAGAUAGCUCGUACUCCCCGAAAUGCAUUUAGGUGCAGCCUGUGGAGUUUCUUACGUGAGGUAGAGCGACUGAUUGGAUGCGAGGCUUUCACCGGCUAUCAAGUCCAGACAAACUCCGAAUGCACGUUAAGUAAGAUCCACGGAGUGAGGGCAUGGGUGCUAAGGUCCAUGUCCGAGAGGAGAAGAAUCCAGACCAUCGGCUAAGGUCCCGAAAUAAUAGCUAAGUUGACCAAACGAAGUCAGAGUGCGAAGACAGCUAGGAUGUUGGCUUGGAAGCAGCCAUUCAUUUAAAGAGUGCGUAACAGCUCACUAGUCGAGUGCUUUGGCGUGGAUAAUAAUCGGGCAUAAGCUAUUUACCGAAGCUGUGGGAUGUGUAAACAUCGGUAGGGGAGCAUUCUAGCGACGCUGAAGGUGAGAGGACAACUCUUGCUGGAGUUUCUAGAAAAGCAAAUGUAGGUAUAAGUAACGAUAAAGGAGGUGAGAAACCUCCUCGCCGAAAGACUAAGGUUUCCUGAUCAACGCUAAUCGGAUCAGGGUUAGUCGGGGCCUAAGGGGAAGCCGAACGGCGCACCCGAUGGAAGAACCGGUUAAUAUUCCGGUACUAAUUAUGUGAGCGAUGUGGAGACGGAGAUGUGACGGUCCUGCCACCUGACGGAAUAGGUGGUUGAAGGGUGUAGGAGUUGAUCUGAGUAGGCAAAUCCGCUCGGAGAUCCGAACCUGACAGUACUCUGAGUGCUUGCACAAGGAGAUAUGGACAACUGUAACGGUGCUCCCAAGAAAAUCCGCUAAGCAUAUUGCAUGAUUACCCGUACCACAAACCGACACAGGUGGUUGGGUUGAGUAUACUAAGGCGCUCGAGUGAUUCGCGGUUAAGGAACUAGGCAAAAUAGUCCUGUAACUUCGGAAUAAAGGACGCUCACAGUGAAGGCUGUGAGCCGCAGAGAAUAGGCCCAGGCGACUGUUUAACAAAAACACAUGGCUAUGCUAAAUCGAAAGAUACUGUAUAUAGCCUGACACCUGCCCGGUGCUGGAAGGUUAAGAGGAGAUGUCAUCGCAAGAGAAGCAUUGAAUUGAAGCCCCAGUAAACGGCGGCCGUAACUAUAACGGUCCUAAGGUAGCGAAAUUCCUUGUCGGGUAAGUUCCGACCUGCACGAAUGGUGUAACGAUCUGGGUACUGUCUCAACCGCGAGCUCGGUGAAAUUGUAGUAUCGGUGAAGAUGCCGAUUACCCGCAAUGGGACGAAAAGACCCUGUGAACCUUUACUAUAACUUCGUAUUGACUUUGAGUAAGUAAUGUGUAGGAUAGGUGGGAGGCUAUGAAGCUGGCACGCUAGUGUUGGUGGAGCCGUUGUUGAAAUACCACCCUUUGCUUACUUGGAGCCUAACUUCUGAAAAAGAGUAAGAAGGACAUUGCGUGGUGGGUAGUUUGACUGGGGUGGUCGCCUCCAAAAGAGUAACGGAGGCUUUCAAAGGUACCCUCAGCACGCUUGGUAACCGUGCGUAGAGUGUAAUGGCAUAAGGGUGCUUGACUGUGAGACCAACAAGUCGAUCAGGUGCGAAAGCAGGACAUAGUGAUCCGGUGGUUCCGUAUGGAAGGGCCAUCGCUCAAAGGAUAAAAGGUA